CCCAAGCUCUGAAGGCAGAGCUGCUGCCAGCAGUAGCACAGAAGGGUGGGAUGGUAUGGGAUUUCCACCCUUACUUCAGCACUGCUGGGGUGUGUGUGUGUGUGUGUG